rnacentral:pre_miRNA from 1 species
AGUAGAAUUACUGGGUUGUAUGGUAACUCUGUGUUUAAUUUUAUGAGAAAUUGCCAUACUGUUUUUUAAAGUGGCUGUAUCAUUUUACAUUCCCACUAGCAAU